AAGCCACAGCAUCAAAAGAACAGGAUGCCCAAUACCUGUGCUAAAUUCACUCACUACCAUGGUGGCAAGAAGCCAGGCACAUUGCAGACACAUUUCUGCCAUUGAUGUUUUGACCGCUGCAGCCUCUCUGGAGUCUUUCAUCUAGCCGGUGUGAAGAUGACAGGUUCUAAUGAGAAAAGAAAAAAAGCCAAGCAGGAUUUAUCUCGCUCGGAAAACACAAACAGGGAGACCUAAGAGACCCCACAAGAGCGCUGCAAAGAGUUCAAAGAGGAGGGGAAUUCUGGCAGCCACAGAAAAGUCCUGGAGAAAGAGGAAGUGGGGCAGCUGAAUGCCACCCACCGUUCUACCUGGAAGGCCAGUGCUUUCACAGGCUCUGCAGACGGUGAUAGAAGCACCCAUGCUUGAUGAGGCCAUGUUGUGCUAUGGUGGUCUGAAUGAAAACGGCCCCCCAAAGACUCAUAAGAAAUGGCACUAUUGGAGGUGUGGUCCUGUUGGGGUAGGUGUGGCCUUGUUGGAGGAAGUGUGUCACUGGGGGCGAGCUUUGAGGUUACAGAAGCUCAAGGCAGGCCCAGUGUCUCACUUGCUCUUCCUGCUGCCUGCCAAUCCAGAUGUCGAACUCUCUGCUUCUUCUCCAUCAUCAUGUUUGCCUGUGCACCACUGUGCUUCCCACCAUGACGAUAAUGGACUAAACCUCUGAACCUGGAAGCAAGCUACAAUGAAAUGUUUUCCUUUAUAAGAGUUGCUAUGGUCAUGGUGUCUCUUCACAGCAAUAAAACCCUAAGUAAGACAUGUGCUCAGAUUGUGGAAGAAGGCCCAAAUAGGCUGCACAGCAACGGGGCAACUUCAGCCUUGAGCUUCCUCAGAUCUGACCCUCAACACCUGUGAAAAAGCCAUCAAGCUUUGGAAGAAGUGUUGGUAAGGUCUUUCAGAGAUCUAAGAGAGUGGUGGCACUUGCUGAGGUAGUGUGGCAUACGACUGGAGAGAGCUGCAGCUGCUCACUCUGGGUUCUGUCAGAAUCAUGAGGAGAUGCCAUAACAAAGGAAAGAGGAGUAGGAUCCACCCUCUGCUGCCAUGCCCUACAACCAAGAUGGCAGCCUUUCUACCCUCAGGCCACUUGUGCUCAAGGAUUGUCUCUCAGUCGCCAACUAUUCUAGUUUCCUUCCUGUUGUCGUGCUAAAACACUGACCAAAGGCACUUAAGGGAAGAAAGGAUAUAUUUGGAUUGCCCUUCCAGGUCACAGUCCAUCACUGAAAACAGGAACCUGAAGCAGAAGCCACAGAAGAGUACUGUUCGCUGGCUCACAGCAAGACACAUGCUUAGCUACCUUUCCUAUGCAGCCCAGGCCCACCUAGGCCUAGGGAUGACACCGCCCACAGCGGGCUGGACUUUUCUACAUCAAUUAACAAUGAAGAAGAUGGCCCCACAGUCAUGCCCAUGAGCCAAGUUGGUCUAGGCAAUUCCUCAGUUGAGACUCUCUUCUCAAGUAAUCUUUGGCCUUGCCAGUCUAAGCUAAUUCGGCACCAACUCGUCUAGCUUUUAGGUCAAUUAUGUAAAUGUUUCCUAUUCUAAAGCUUUCUCAUUUGACCUAUAUUCUUCUGUUAGAUGUGUCCAACAUUAAAAAUAAACAUGCACGGAUGU
rnacentral:lncRNA from 1 species